rnacentral:rRNA from 1 species
UACAGAGGUGGCAAGCGUUGUUCGGAAUUACUGGGCGUAAAGGGCGCGUAGGCGGUCUUGUAAGUUCCGUGUGAAAUCCCUCGGCUCAACUGAGGAACCGCACGGAAAACUGCUUGGCUUGAGUUCGGGAGAGGGAAGCGGAAUUCCGGGUGUAGCGGUGAAAUGCGUAGAUAUCCGGAGGAACACCCGUAGCGAAGGCGGCACUCUGGGCCGGAACUGACGCUGAGGAGCGAAAGCGUGGGGAGCAAACAGG